CCUACGGGUGGCAGCAGUGAGGAAUAUUGGUCAAUGGACGAGAGUCUGAACCAGCCAAGUAGCGUGAAGGAUGACUGCCCUAUGGGUUGUAAACUUCUUUUAUAUGGGAAUAAAAUGUUCCACGUGUGGGAUUUUGUAUGUACCAUAUGAAUAAGGAUCGGCUAACUCCGUGCCAGCAGCCGCGGUAAUACGGAGGAUCCGAGCGUUAUCCGGAUUUAUUGGGUUUAAAGGGAGCGUAGGUGGAUUGUUAAGUCAGUUGUGAAAGUUUGCGGCUAAACCGUAAAAUUGCAGUUGAACUGGCAGUCUUGAGUACAGUAGAGGUGGGCGGAAUGCGUGGUGUAGCGGUGAAAUGCUUAGAUAUCACGAAGAACUCCGAUUGCGAAGGCAGUUCACUGGACUGCAACUGACACUGAGGCUCGAAAGUGUGGGUAUCAAACAGGAUUAGAUACCCUUGUAGUC
rnacentral:rRNA from 1 species